rnacentral:lncRNA from 1 species
UGAAGGAAAGCUAUAUAGUGUUAAGAGAACUUAUAGAAGACAACCUGAUGUGGUUUAGGAGCUAAAGGAAGGAGACAGAUAAAAGAAAAUAUUUUUCUCUGAGAAAGUAAUGUUCAAAUUGGGCUCUAAGGAGUCAGGACAACCUCUGAAUUUGAAAGAAGGGAGAGAUAUUCUCAGCAGUAAGAACAUCAAUUACAGAGAACGUGUGAUGAUAAGAGGUGGCCUUAUUCGGCACCCCAGAGUUGGACAGAAAUUUUCUGUGCUCACUGGGAACUUGGCUCUGACUCUGGUUUCUCUGUCACAGAUUUUGGGGUUUUCUUUCACUGAGAAGGUAUGGCACUAGCAUGAUAUAACUCUUGCUGGAUAAAGAAAGCACAGGAGAAGCAGUAUAGUGCAGUGGUUAAGCAUAUAGGAUUUGGAUUAGACUCAGGUCAAGUUCAGACACUGUCACUCAUUAGUCAUGUGAACUUGGACAAAUUACUUAACCUCUCUAAGGCUCAGUUUCUUCAUCUGUAAAAUAGGUAUAGUGAUAGCAGCUAUUGAAUUUUUGUGUGUGCAGGAGAGGGGAAAAUUAUGGUAAAUAAUAAUUCCUCCCUUGUCCAACAAGAUUGUGAGCUCACCGGA